UAGUGUUGAAAAAAUUCUCAAACUUCAGUCAGAGCAUUUCCAUAGAGAGCCACUUUGCAUCAGCAGCACCAUGCUCCAGUGCUCUGGGAGAGUUUAUAGUCCUGAGAGUUGAACACUGGAUGACUGACAGCUGUCCUUCAUGACAACAGAAGCCACAGAAAUCCUCCUCAUCAAAAACAUGACUUUGAUCUCCGUCCUCAUCUGGACUCUCCUCUGCUGCUGCUUCACAGAGUCCAGAGGCCAGGUCACAGUGACUCAGCCUGGAGCAGUGAGCUCUGCUGUGGGAGGCUCCGUCACCAUCAGCUGUAGGACCAGUCAGAAUGUUAUUGGUGGAAACUAUUUAUCCUGGUACCAACAGAGAGAUGGAGAAACUCCUAAAGAGCUAAUUUAUGUAGCUAGCAAUCGACAAUCAGGGAUUCCAGCUCGUUUUACAGGCAGUGGAUCAAACUCUGACUUCACUCUGACCAUCAGUGGAGUUCAGACUGAAGAUGCAGCAGUUUACUACUGUCAGAGUCGCCAUGACAUCAACAGUCAGGCUCUGUUCACACAGUGAAAAAGCGUCGUACAAAAACCUCCCU